GGUCAAUCUAGGUCGUCUGGGUCGUCUAGGUCGUCUAGGUCAUCUAGGAGGGGAAGGAAGGAUGGCAGGAUGGAAGGGAUAGAGGAGAAGGGGUUGGUGUGCCUGCGAGUGGGAGGGAGUGUUGGUGUUUAUACAAGGAAGGUGAAUAAAGCAAUUUGAACGUU